GCGGGUGGCGCACUCGCGGCGUUACGGUAGCGGCGGCGGGGCCGCGCCCCGGCCGUAAGAUGGCGGCGCCGGGCGGCCCGCGAGCAGCCCCCGGCCGCCGGGCGGGCACCGCGGCUGCCCCCCGAGCCUCGGCGCGGCGCCUGGGAGCGGCGGCGGACCCGCAUCGCUAGGUCACUUCUUUCUGAAAGGAGCAGAGUCAAACAUAGCUGCGCAUUUCUGGAUGACAGUGCUACAACCUGUUGCAAUGAAAGCAGGCUGUCAUUUUCACCUGUCCAUUUAGUCUACCCACCAAAUACCAGAGCUUAAGAAAGAACAGAGAAGACACCCAAAUUCAGGACCAUUGAAGUUUAGGAUCCAAGAAGACUGUUGGUAAACAGAAAUCUUUGAGAGAAGAGCAAGCAAACAAAACCAACAUCCUUAUCUCCAAAUUGCAGAGAGAUGAUUUGAAGUGUGGGCUGUUCAGUGGAUAUGGAAUUGGCUGGAUGGACACGCCCAGAGAGUGGUGGUCAAUGGCUCUAUGUCCAGAUGGAGGCCAGUGGCGAGUGGUGUCCCUCAGUGGUCUGUCUAGGAACAAGUCCUGUUUAAUGUCUUUAUCAGUGACAUAGACAGUGGGAUCGAGGGCACCCUCAGCAAGUUUUCAGAUGACACUAAGCUGAGUGGUGCAGUCAAUACACCAGAAGGAAGGGAUGACAUCCAAAGGGACCU